rnacentral:rRNA from 1 species
UACGUAGGGGGCAAGCGUUGUCCGGAUUUAUUGGGCGUAAAGAGCUUGUAGGCGGUUUGUCGCGUCUGCCGUGAAAGCCCAGGGCUUAACCCUGGGUCUGCGGUGGGUACGGGCAGACUAGAGUGUGGUAGGGGAGACUGGAAUUCCUGGUGUAGCGGUGAAAUGCGCAGAUAUCAGGAGGAACACCGAUGGCGAAGGCAGGUCUCUGGGCCACUACUGACGCUGAGAAGCGAAAGCAUGGGGAGCAAACAGG